rnacentral:rRNA from 1 species
GAAUACCGAAGAAUGUUAUCACGGGAGACACACGGCGGGUGCUAACGUCCGUCGUGAAGAGGGAAACAACCCAGACCGCCAGCUAAAGGUCCCAAAGUCAUGGUUAAGUGGGAAACGAAGUGGGAAGGCUCAGACAGCCAGGAUGUUGGCUUAGAAGCAGCCAUCAUUUAAAAGAAAGCGUAAUAGCUCACUGGUCGAGUCGGCCCGCGCGGAAGAUGUAACGGGGCUAAACCAUGCACCGAAGCUGCGGCAGCGACACUUAUGUGUUGUUGGGUAGGGGAGCGUUCUGUAAGCCUGCGAAGGUGUACUGUGAGGUAUGCUGGAGGUAUCAGAAGUGCGAAUGCUGACAUAAGUAACGAUAAU